rnacentral:rRNA from 1 species
GACGAACGCCGGCGGCGUGCUUAACACAUGCAAGUCGAGCGGAAAGGCCCUUCGGGGUACUCGAGCGGCGAACGGGUGAGUAACACGUGAGUAACCUGCCCCUGACUCUGGGAUAAGCCUGGGAAACCGGGUCUAAUACCGGAUACGACACAUGGCCGCAUGGUCUGUGUGUGGAAAGUUUUUUCGGUCGGGGAUGGGCUCGCGGCCUAUCAGCUUGUUGGUGGGGUGAUGGCCUACCAAGGCGACGACGGGUAGCCGGCCUGAGAGGGCGACCGGCCACACUGGGACUGAGACACGGCCCAGACUCCUACGGGAGGCAGCAGUGGGGAAUAUUGCGCAAUGGGCGGAAGCCUGACGCAGCGACGCCGCGUGGGGGAUGACGGCCUUCGGGUUGUAAACCUCUUUCAGCAGGGACGAAGUUGACGUGUACCUGUAGAAGAAGCGCCGGCUAACUACGUGCCAGCAGCCGCGGUAAUACGUAGGGCGCGAGCGUUGUCCGGAAUUAUUGGGCGUAAAGAGCUCGUAGGUGGCUUGUCGCGUCUGCCGUGAAAGCCCGUGGCUUAACUACGGGUCUGCGGUGGAUACGGGCAGGCUAGAGGCUGGUAGGGGCAAGUGGAAUUCCUGGUGUAGCGGUGAAAUGCGCAGAUAUCAGGAGGAACACCGGUGGCGAAGGCGGCUUGCUGGGCCAGUUCUGACGCUGAGGAGCGAAAGCGUGGGGAGCGAACAGGAUUAGAUACCCUGGUAGUCCACGCUGUAAACGUUGGGCGCUAGGUGUGGGGGUCUUCCACGAUUCCUGUGCCGUAGCUAACGCAUUAAGCGCCCCGCCUGGGGAGUACGGCCGCAAGGCUAA